AUGAACGCUGGCGGCGUGCCUAAUACAUGCAAGUCGAGCGAACGGACGAGAAGCUUGCUUCUCUGAUGUUAGCGGCGGACGGGUGAGUAACACGUGGAUAACCUACCUAUAAGACUGGGAUAACUUCGGGAAACCGGAGCUAAUACCGGAUAAUAUUUUGACCCGCAUGGUUCAAAAGUGAAAGACGGUCUUGCUGUCACUUAUAGAUGGAUCCGCGCUGCAUUAGCUAGUUGGUAAGGUAACGGCUUACCAAGGCAACGAUGCAUAGCCGACCUGAGAGGGUGAUCGGCCACACUGGAACUGAGACACGGUCCAGACUCCUACGGGAGGCAGCAGUAGGGAAUCUUCCGCAAUGGGCGAAAGCCUGACGGAGCAACGCCGCGUGAGUGAUGAAGGUCUUCGGAUCGUAAAACUCUGUUAUUAGGGAAGAACAUAUGUGUAAGUAACUGUGCACAUCUUGACGGUACCUAAUCAGAAAGCCACGGCUAACUACGUG
rnacentral:rRNA from 1 species